GUAACCCGUUGAACCCCAUUCGUGAUGGGGAUCGGGGAUUGCAAUUAUUCCCCAUGAACGAGGAAUUCCCAGUAAGUGCGGGUCAUAAGCUUGCGUUGAUUAAGUCCCUGCCCUUUGUACACACCGCCCGUCGCUACUACCGAUUGGAUGG
rnacentral:rRNA from 1 species